CUACUCUUUUCUUAAAAAUUUUCCGGCGAGGUUUUACGGUGAACUAAAACCUCCAUUCUCCUUCUCCCAUCCUCUUGAAUACGAAUUAUUGGCUCGAGGUAAAGAUUUAACCGAGGAUUAGCUUGCGAGGAAGACAAAUCGCCAAUUCAGUAUCAGUUCAGUGAAGCGAU